UCCAGACUCCUACGGGAGGCAGCAGUGGGGAAUAUUGCACAAUGGGGGGAACCCUGAUGCAGCGACGCCGCGUGGGUGAAGGAGUAUUUCGGUAUGUAAAGCCCUAUCAGCAGGGAAGAACAAUGACGGUACCUGACUAAGAAGCACCGGCUAAAUACGUGCCAGCAGCCGCGGAAAUACGUAUGGUGCAAGCGUUAUCCGGAUUUACUGGGUGUAAAGGGGGCGCAGACGGCAGCGCAAGCCAGGAGUGAAAGCCCGGGGCCCAACCCCGGGACUGCUUUUGGAACUGCGCGGCUGGAGUGCAGGAGGGGCAGGCGGAAUUCCUGGUGUAGCGGUGAAAUGCGUAGAUAUCAGGAGGAACACCGGUGGCGAAGGCGGCCUGCUGGACUGCGACUGACGUUGAGGCCCGAAAGCGUGGGGAGCAAACAGGAUUAGAUACCCCAGUA
rnacentral:rRNA from 1 species